rnacentral:rRNA from 1 species
AUGUAAUGUAAUGCCUACAAAAUUAAUGCACUAUAUCUCAUUAGAACUCCAUAGUCAAGUAUUUUUGGGCUAGAUUAGUAUUGGGAUGGGUGACCUGCUGGGAAGUCCUAGUGUUUUACAUG